rnacentral:rRNA from 1 species
AUUGAACGCUGGCGGCAUGCUUUACACAUGCAAGUCGAACGAGUGGCGAACGGGUGAGUAACGCCUCGGAAAGUGCCGGGUGGAGGGGGAUAACUAUCGGAAACGACAGCUAAUACCGCAUAUUAUCAGAGCGGCCGAUGUGUGAUUAGCUGGUUGGGGGGGUAAAGGCCCACCAAGGCGACGAUCCGUAGCGGGUCUGAGAGGAUGACCCGCCACACGGGAACUGAGACACGGUCCAGAUUCCUACGGGAGGCAGCAGUGGGGAAUUUUGGACAAUGGGCGCAAGCCUGAUCCAGCCAUGCCGCGUGUCUGAAGAAGGCCUUCGGGUUGUAAAGGACUUUUGUCAGGGAAGCGUUACCUGAAGAAUAAGCACCGGCUAACUACGUGCCAGCAGCCGCGGUAAUAC